AAUCCUACGGGGGGCAGCAGUGAGGAAUAUUGGUCAAUGGGCGAGAGCCUGAACCAGCCAAGUCGCGUGAGGGAGUACUGCCCUAUGGGUUGUAAACUUCUUUUGUCAGGGAGCAAUUGGGUCCACGCGUGGGCUUAGCGAGAGUACCUGAAGAAAAAGCAUCGGCUAACUCCGUGCCAGCAGCCGCGGUAAUACGGAGGAUGCGAGCGUUAUCCGGAUUUAUUGGGUUUAAAGGGUGCGUAGGCGGAAUAUCAAGUCAGCGGUAAAAUUGAGAGGCUCAACCUCUUCGAGCCGUUGAAACUGGU
rnacentral:rRNA from 1 species